rnacentral:rRNA from 1 species
GACGAACGCUGGCGGCGUGCUUAACACAUGCAAGUCGAACGGAAAGGCCCUGCUUUUGUGGGGUGCUCGAGUGGCGAACGGGUGAGUAACACGUGAGUAACCUGCCCUUGACUUUGGGAUAACUUCAGGAAACUGGGGCUAAUACUGGAGAGGAGCUCCUGCUGCAUGGUGGGGGUUGGAAAGUUUCGGCGGUUGGGGAUGGACUCGCGGCUUAUCAGCUUGUUGGUGGGGUUGUUGCGUACGAAGGCUUUGACGGGUAGCCGGCCUGAGCGGGUGACCGGCCACAAUGGGCCUGAGAUACGGCACAGACUCCAACGGGCGGCAGCAGUGGAGAUUAUUGCAGAGUGGGCGGGAGCCUGAUGUGAAAACGCCGCGUGCGGGAAGACGUGCUGCGGGUUGUAAACCGCUUUCGCCUGAGACGAAGUGAGAGUGACGGUAAUGGGUAAAGAAGCACCGGCUAACUACGUG